UACAGAGGGGGCAAGCGUUGUUCGGAAUUACUGGGCGUAAAGGGCGCGUAGGUGGCCUUCUAAGUUGAACGUGAAAUCCCUGGGCUCAACCCAGGAACUGCGUCCAAGACUGGGAGGCUUGAAUCCGGGAGAGGGAUGCGGAAUUCCAGGUGUAGCGGUGAAAUGCGCAGAUAUCAGGAGGAACACCGAUGGCGAAGGCAGGUCUCUGGGCAUUAACUGACGCUGAGGAGCGAAAGCAUGGGGAGCGAACAGG
rnacentral:rRNA from 1 species